CCCCUCGAAAACUGACAACCAGUCAUUUUGGCAUGUGGUGUGAUGCACGCGCUGCUACGUCAUGCCACGUCAUGGCCACGUCAUUUUUUCUUUUUUUACUCCAAAAAGAUUAAUUAUUUAACAUUAUUAUUUCUUUCUUUUUUUCCCUUUCCCAUUUUGCUCCAUUUUCUUCGUCAACCCAAUUUCAUCUUCUUGGAUCAAAAAUAGAAUUCUUGGGGAAAGAAAUGGCGGAUUAAUGAGUGUGUAAAUGUUCCUCACACAUACACACGUAUGUUCUUCUUCAACCCAUUAAUGACGGAUAAAUACUCCUCAAAGUUUUUCAUCUCUUUUUGCUCA
rnacentral:lncRNA from 1 species